rnacentral:rRNA from 1 species
UGCCUCAGUAACGGCGAGUGAAGCGGCAAAAGCUCAAAUUUGAAAUCCCCCGGGAAUUGUAAUUUGAAGAGAUUUGGGUCCGGCCGGCGGGGGUUAAGUCCACUGGAAAGUGGCGCCACAGAGGGUGACAGCCCCGUGAACCCCUUCAACGCCCUCAUCCCAGAUCUCCAAGAGUCGAGUUGUUUGGGAAUGCAGCUCUAAGUGGGUGGUAAAUUCCAUCUAAAGCUAAAUACCGGCGAGAGACCGAUAGCGAACAAGUACAGUGAUGGAAAGAUGAAAAGCACUUUGAAAAGAGAGUGAAAAAGUACGUGAAAUUGUUGAAAGGGAAGGGCUUGCAAGCAGACACUUAACUGGGCCAGCAUCGGGGCGGCGGGAAACAAAACCACCGGGGAAUGUACCUUUCGAGGAUUAUAACCCCGGUCUCUACUUCCUUGUUGCCCCGAGGCCUGCAAUCUAAGGAUGCUGGCGUAAUGGUUGCAAGUCGCCCGUCUUGAAACACGGACCAAGGAGUCUAACAAUCAUGCAAGUGUUUGGGCCCAAAACCCAUACGCGCAAUGAAAGUAACCGGAGCGAACCUUAUGGUGCAACUCCCGCCACACCCAAACCCAAAUCCCGGUGUGAACAAACAUGGCUGGUGGGAACCCAAAGAAGGUGAACUAUACCUGGAUAAGGUGAAACCCGAAGAAACUCUGGUGGAAGCUCCUAACGGUUCUGAACUGCAAAUCCAUCGUCCAAUCUGGGUAUAGGGGCCAAAGACUAAUCGAACCAUCUAGUAACUGGUUCUGC